CACCACCAGAAUACUACUACUACAGACACACACAAAUACUACAAACACAACAACAGAAUACUACUACUCUACACACACACACACACACACACGCAAAUACUACAAACAACACCAGAAUACUACUACACCACACACACAUACUACAAACAGCCCACAUAAACAUCACAGACAACCCCAUUCCCACAAUCAUCCCCACAUUCAGACAUAACACAAUACUAC